AUUGUGACAGUUUUAAUAUAUCUUUAUAUUAUGUUUUAAUAAAUGCAGUUUAGAUUAAACACGAAAACACAAUGUAGACUAACUGUACAACUCAUUCCCCUAAGACAUCUUGUAUGCCCUGACUGUAAACAGGUUCAAAGUGGUAGAAGAACAGGGAGUGACUAGAAGCAGCUAAGGUCAGGCUGGUCCCAUGCCCUGAGCCUGAACCCUGAGUUGACAUGAUAAUGAAUUUAAACCCUAAUUGACAUAAUUGGACAACCCUCUUUCGCCUCUUCCAUGUGGCACCUGCCAAAGCACAGCUUAAGUAGCUCUGCACUGUGGCUGCCUUGAAAGAGCAGCAGGGAUGUUCUGUUUUUAGCAGAACCCAGAAGUAGUUCUUCCCCUCUGAUCCCCCUAAAGCUCUAAGUGCAAGACGAGAGGAACCACCACCUGGAUUUCAAGUCCAAGAACCAAUAAAUAGCCAAUUUAAUCUUGUUUGGUGACCAGGACUCAUGAGGAUGAUUUGCUUUCUAAUCUUACAGUUUUAGCGGCCCUUAGGACAGACACUUCCAUGCAAAUUUCAAAAGGUGCCAAUUCCUCAAGGAAAACUGAGUGAGUUAUGAACAACAACCUGAGCUACCCCAGAAGGGCUUUUGCCAUCCCAGUGGGCAGCGAGCGGCCUUAGCUCCCUACCCCUCACCUGCUCUCCUAUUCCUAUGUACCCUAGAUCCCAGGAUGCCCUUGUGGGCCUCUCAAACAUGCCAUGUCCUCUCCCAGGCCAUCUAGAGUCAGGCAGUGGUGGAUUCUGCCUUAUAGG